rnacentral:rRNA from 1 species
AUUGAACGCUGGCGGCAUGCCUUACACAUGCAAGUCGAACGGUAACAGGUUAAGCUGACGAGUGGCGAACGGGCGAGUAAUGUAUCGGAACGUGCCCAGUCGUGGGGGAUAACUGCUCGAAAGAGCAGCUAAUACCGCAUACGACCUGAGGGUGAAAGCGGGGGAUCGCAAGACCUCGCGCGAUUGGAGCUGCCGAUAUCAGAUUAGGUAGUUGGUGAGGUAAAGGCUCACCAAGCCGACGAUCUGUAGCUGGUCUGAGAGGACGACCAGCCACACUGGGACUGAGACACGGCCCAGACUCCUACGGGAGGCAGCAGUGGGGAAUUUUGGACAAUGGGCGCAAGCCUGAUCCAGCCAUGCCGCGUGCGUGAAGAAGGCCUUCGGGUUGUAAACCGCUUUUGUCAGGGAAGAAAAGGUUCUGGCUAAUACCUGGGACUCAUGACGGUACCUGAAGAAUAAGCACCGGCUAACUACGUG